rnacentral:rRNA from 1 species
GACGAACGCUGGCGGCGUGCUUAACACAUGCAAGUCGAACGGAAAGGCCCUGCUUUUGUGGGGUGCUCGAGUGGCGAACGGGUGAGUAACACGUGAGUAACCUGCCCUUGACUUUGGGAUAACUUCAGGAAACUGGGGCUAAUACCGGAUAGGAGCUCCUGCUGCAUGGUGGGGGUUGGAAAGUUUCGGCGGUUGGGGAUGGACUCGCGGCUUAUCAGCUUGUUGGUGGGGUAGUGGCUUACCAAGGCUUUGACGGGUAGCCGGCCUGAGAGGGUGACCGGCCAAAAUGGGACUGAGAUACGGCCCAGACGCCUACGGGAGGCAGCAGUGGGGAAUAUUGCACAAUGGGCGGAAGCCUGAUGCAGCAACGCCGCGUGCGGGAUGACGGCCUUCGGGUUGUAAACCGCUUUCGCCUGUGACGAAGCGUGAGUGACGGUAAUGGGUAAAGAAGCACCGGCUAACUACGUG